rnacentral:tmRNA from 1 species
GGGGCUGACCGGUUUUGACAGCAGGCAGAAGCUGACUGUAAGCACGCCGAGCGUUGUGUGGGCGCUCGUUAAAGUGAACGCUCAAAAUUCAAAUGGCAAUAACAGCUAUGCACUCGCUGCGUAACCUUACUAAGUAACGUUCGCUUAAUCCGCUUGUCUUAGAGACGAGCCGACGAGUAUCCCGCCUUCUGCGCCACCCGCUCUUUGUGGUGCGAGGCUUUCCGGGGUAUCAAACAAUUUAGAGAUAGCGUUUCGGGGUGUCUCGACCGGCUCGCGAAAAUUUAGGGACUGGGCUUCGCGGUGGGUUGUUGCCUGCCAGCUGCGGAGAGAAGGAUCAAACGGCAACUAAGCGUGUAGAAAUCACUCGGAAUCACUGUUUGGACGAGGGUUCGACUCCCUCCAGCUCCACCC